CUUUUCUCUCCCGGGAGCGGGCCGAGGGGCGGGGGAGGGGCCGCCGCCCCGCCUUCUUCUUUUCGCAAUGUUGACGCAAUCUAUAAAUAGUGGAACAAAAGGACCAACUUCCCCGGAGCUUUGCUGAAACUGCACAAAAAAUCGAGCUGGGGGGGUUCCCUGGUCCCCGGCGUUGGGGCGGGGAGCGCGGCGCCGAGGGAGGGGGCGGCGCAGACCGGCCUAGGGGACACCUGGGCGAGCGCGGCCGCCACUCCGCUCGAGCCCUGCGCUCCAGUGCCCCCACUGGCUGGAGAGCUCGCCCCGACCGGGGGUCUUCCCCUGCCGCUGACAGAUUUUAACCUUUAGAAGAGAACCAGUUCUGGAAAACAACCUGUUUCUUUGGCUGAAUACCCACAUAAUGCAUUGGAACAUGAUAGUAGAUUAAGGUUUAACAAUGAUAAAAUGAAGAUAUUACUAAACAGCUAAGUAGCCCAACAGUUAUUAUUUUUGUGUGAGGAUUGAACCCAGGACCUCAAAAAGUACUACUAAAACAUAGACCAAUACCAAAGAAGAAUAUUGAAGCUACUUCUGUGCUAAAUGUUCCUCGGCCUUAACUUAUUAAUGAAUGUGUCCUAUAGAUCUUCCUUAAUGAGUUUUUUUUUCCCUUCUCCCCACCCUCAUUUACCUUUGGUGAUUCUAUUAAAAAAUACCUUUGAAAAACCAUAA